rnacentral:lncRNA from 1 species
CCUGCUUUUAUUAUUUUGCAUACUGUUUAUUUGAGGAUAUAUCAGAGCUGGCCAGCCAGGCCUACAGCGUCUCCCCCAACCCAAAUCACCAUGUCUUGAAUUUUGGGUAGUUUAAGUGAUUCCUUCCCUUGCCUGUUAAUUUUAUUCAGACAGGGGAUGUAACUUGGUCUGAAAGCUCUAGCAUAUAUAAGGCUCUGGGUUCAACUGUCUCACACACACUCUGGAUUCAACUCUAGCACACACACACACAGAGGUAGAGAUUUUUAAAGAUGUAUGCCCAGUUUAGUUUUCUUAAUAGAAUAAACAGUGUUUUGCCUUUUUGUUUUUUGAGACAGGAUCUAACUAUGUAGACCUGUCUGGCCUGGAUAUCAAUAUAUAGAAAGACCAUGCUGGCCUCUAACUCAUAGACUUCCCCCUCUCACGUGCUAGGAUUAAAUGCAUGCAUACCAUGCCCAGUUUAAACCUUAUUUAUUUAUUUGUUUUGUUUUUCCAGACAGGGCUA